rnacentral:rRNA from 1 species
GUACACUCCUGCGGGAGGCAGCAGUGGGGAAUAUUGGACAAUGGGCGCAAGCCUGAUCCAGCCAUGCCGCGUGAGUGAUGAAGGCCCUAGGGUUGUAAAGCUCUUUCCCCGGUGAAGAUAAUGACGGUAACCGGAGAAGAAGCCCCGGCUAACUUCGUGCCAGCAGCCGCGGUAAUACGAAGGGGGCUAGCGUUGUUCGGAUUUACUGGGCGUAAAGCGCACGUAGGCGGACUAUUAAGUCAGGGGUGAAAUCCCGGGGCUCAACCCCGGAACUGCCUUUGAUACUUGUAGUCUUGAGUUCGAGAGAGGUGAGUGGAAUUCCGAGUGUAGAGGUGAAAUUCGUAGAUAUUCGGAGGAACACCAGUGGCGAAGGCGGCUCACUGGCUCGAUACUGACGCUGAGGUGCGAAAGCGUGGGGAGCAAACAGGAUUAGAAACCCCUGUAGUCCC